GAUACACGACCGUACCGCAAACCGACACUGGUGCGCGAGAUGAGUAUUCUAAGGCGCUUGAGAGAACUCAGGAGAAGGAACUCGGCAAAUUGACACCGUAACUUCGGAAGAAGGUGUGCCUUUAGUAGGUGAACCUGUACAAGGGGAGCCCAAUGAGGUUGCAAAAAAUCGGUGGCUGCGACUGUUUAAUAAAAACACAGCACUCUGCAAACACGAAAGUGGACGUAUAGGGUGUGACGCCUGCCCGGUGCUGGAAGAUUAAAUGAUGGGGUGCAAGCUCUUGAUUGAAGUCCCAGUAAACGGCGGCCGUAACUAUAACGGUCCUUAGGUAGCGAAAUUCCUUGUCGGGUAAGUUCCGACCUGCACGAAUGGCGUAACGAUGGCCACACUGUCUCCUCCUGAGACUCAGCGAAGUUGAAAUGUUUGUGAUGAUGCAAUCUCCCCGCGGAAAGACGGAAAGACCCCAUGAACCUUUACUGUAGCUUUGUAUUGGACUUUGAACAGAUCUGUGUAGGAUAGGUGGGAGGCUUUGAAGUGUGGUCGCUAGAUCGCAUGGAGCCAACGUUGAAAUACCACCCUGGUGUGUUUGAGGUUCUAACCUAGGCCCGUAAUCCGGGUCGGGGACAGUGCAUGGUAGGCAGUUUGACUGGGGCGGUCUCCUCCCAAAGCGUAACGGAGGAGUUCGAAGGUACGCUAGGUACGGCCGGACAUCGUGCUAAUAGUGCAAUGGCAUAAGCGUGCUUAACUGCGAGACUGACAAGUCGAGCAGAUGCGAAAGCAGGACAUAGUGAUCCGGUGGUUCUGUAUGGAAGGGCCAUCGCUCAACGGAUAAAAGGUACUCUGGGGAUAACAGGCUGAUACCGCCCAAGAGUUCAUAUCGACGGCGGUGUUUGGCACCUCGAUGUCGGCUCAUCUCAUCCUGGGGCUGUAGCCGGUCCCAAGGGUAUGGCUGUUCGCCAUUUAAAGAGGUACGUGAGCUGGGCUUAAAACGUCGUGAGACAGUUUGGUCCCUAUCUUCCGUGGGCGCUGCAGAUUUGAGGAAGCCUGCUCCUAGUACGAGAGGACCGGAGUGGACACACCUCUGGUGUAUCGGUUGUCACGCCAGUGGCAUUGCCGAGUAGCUAUGAGUGGAAGAGAUAACCGCUGAAAGCAUCUAAGCGGGAAACUCGUUUCAAGAUGAGAUCUGCCGGGGCCUUGAGCCCCCUAAAGAGUCGUUCAAGACCAGGACGUUGAUAGGUCGGGUGUGGAAGCGCAGUAAUGCGUUAAGCUAACCGAUACUAAUUGCUCGUGCGGCUUGACCCU
rnacentral:rRNA from 1 species